AUUAGAUUAAAAACCAAUGCCCUUCGGGGCUCUCUGGUGAUUCAUGAUAACUUCUCGAAUCGCAUGGCCUUGCGCCGGCGAUGGUUCAUUCAAAUUUCUUCCCUAUCAACUUUCGAUGUUUGGGUAUUGGCCAAACAUGGUUGCAACGGGUAACGGAGGGUUAGGGCUCGACCCCGGAGAAGGAGCCUGAGAAACGGCUACUACAUCCAAGGAAGGCAGCAGGCGCGCAAAUUACCCAAUCCCGACUCGGGGAGGUAGUGACAAUAAAUACUGAUACAGGGUUCUUUCGGAUCUUGUAAUUGGAAUGAGUACAAUUUAAAUCCCUUAACGAGGAACAAUUGGAGGGCAAGUCUGGUGCCAGCAGCCGCGGUAAUUCCAGCUCCAAUAGCGUAUAUUAAAGUUGUUGUGGUUAAAAAGCUCGUAGUUGAACCUUGGGCCUGGCUGGCCGGUCCGCCUCACCGCGUGUACUGGUCCGGCCGGGCCUUUCCCUCUGUGGAAACCUAUGCCCUUCACUGGG
rnacentral:rRNA from 1 species